UACGUAGGGUGCGAGCGUUGUCCGGAAUUACUGGGCGUAAAGAGCUCGUAGGCGGCUUGUCGCGUUGUUCGUGAAAAUUUACCGCUCAACGGUGAACUUGCGGGCGAUACGGGCAGGCUAGAGUACUGCAGGGGAGACUGGAAUUCCUGGUGUAGCGGUGAAAUGCGCAGAUAUCAGGAGGGACACCGGUGGCGAAGGCGGGUCUCUGGGCAGUAACUGACGCUGAGGAGCGAAAGCGUGGGGAGCGAACAGG
rnacentral:rRNA from 1 species